rnacentral:lncRNA from 10 species
GGGGUCUCCCCCGGGGCCUGGGGCGGGCCGAAGAUGUCCAGGCCUGGCCGGAGCCGCCUCCUGAUUGACGAGGCCCGCAUGGGAGUGCGGACGUGCAGCACAGAUUUGCGGGUCUCCUGGGCCUCUUGGGCGGUGAUCAGCGCGGACCUUGGGCCAACCGGGGAAGCAGGCCGGAGCACUACCCCCCACCCCCAUUUUAGAACAUCCUUCUGAGGGCUUCGCUGACCUCGGCUUGAACUCCUUCAGAGCCGGAGAGAUCACUCCUUCCACCACCGAGGGAGAGGAGGCAAAAUGAAUUUGCCAGCUUUGAAUUCAUUCUCAAGGCUCCGCUAGUCUCACAGCCAGUGAACUCAGUCUGGAAUUCCUGAAAGCUCAGAAAACUGCUGCUUAGGUGGCAGCUGAGCAUCCCUGGAGAGGGUGGGUGGUAUGAAAGCACUUCCAGACCUCUAGGGACACCAGGGAGUCAUGGUCCCAGCACAUUGCUGUGUGAUUGAGCCCCUCCUCAGCCUGUGGGUGGCCUAAGUUCACAGGGAGGUAAUGGGGUAGAUUGGAUACCUCUGGGGUCUUGGAAGAAGCUAUGACUUAUUUACUGUCUACUAUGUGCUGAAGCCACUUGCUCAGAGCCGCACAGCAAGCCCACCACCCUGAACCUCCAGAUUACCAACUCAGCAUUGUGUCCUGACAGUGUCAUCAUAGAUGGUCAACACCGUCACCUGGGCAGCACUGAAGCCCAGAGCGGGAGAGACUGGCUCAAGACCAUGGGGAGCUCAGGAGGGGGAAUUGCACUGAAGAUUUGUCCCAUCGUGAAGCAAGAGCACUGGAACUUACACUCCACCAUCAGGCCCUGUCACAGGAGAACAAAGAAGGAAGGCAGAGGAGAUCAUGCUCCGGCCAGCAGGGAAUCUCCAUUUUUUUCAGCCUCAUACCUUGGAAAGUACAAAGGAGUGAGAGCUGGGACUACCAGCCAGAGGGUUCAUGGAGGUAGUGGGAGGGGAAGAUGGGUUCUGCAUGGAGCCACUCCAGGGACUUUUCUUCUGUCUCACAGCCUGACAAUCACCUCUAGCUGUUCUCAGUCCCAUUCUCAUCAAUGACCUCGUCUCCUGAUUUUGUACAAUAUCUAGGUGACCUUCUCUUCUUUCCAUCUUCAAACGCUUGAUCAUUGAUGCUCCCUUUUCUCUUCUCUCUCCUCCUGGGAAAAGAGAAGGACCAACAUCCCCCUUUCCCUUCCUCCUGUGCUGUCCCGACCCCUCUGAGACCUGGCUCUAGCAGUAAGUCCCUCUCUCUUCUGCAGCACCAGCCUCUGCCCAUCCCUGCCCUCUGCACACAAAGCUCUCACAUUGUCUGCACUUUAAGAACUUUUGUGGCAAACCCUGGCAAAUCCUGCCACUUGUUUCCACUCUUCUCAAAUGGCUUUGAGGUCAUCAUUGACCUAUCCCAUUUGACCCUGUCCUGUAUCUGAUGUUGUACCCUUUCUCCUUGAUCCCACUCUGGCAACUCUCCCACUCCCCUUUCUUGGAUCAACUGUCUUGCUCCUCAGUCUUGAUCAAUGCCUCCUUCUCUCUCUUUAGCCUUGGCCCUUUUUGGCCAGGGAAAUAAAUGUGAAAUACAUAAAGCUUCAUUUUAUCUUAUGAUUAUAGCUAUGUUGAUGUUACCCAAGACCUAAAAGUCACACUCUCUAAUUACACUUCCCUCCUGUGUUCUGGGUCCUCUUGGACCAGUCCUUACUCUGGCUCCCCUCCUGGAUGUCUCCCAGACUUCUAAUUAGAAUUACUGUUUCCUAUAUCAAGCUAAUUAUCUUUCCCACCAACCUCCUCCAUCCUUGGGUGAAAGCAUCACUUGGUUGCAAAAGUCAGAAAUCUGGGUUUCAUUCUUGCGGUAGGUAGAAUAAUGCCCCCAGGCCCCAGGUUUUGACAUCCGAAUCCCUGGGACUUUGCAGAUGUGAUUCAGUUUAGGAUUUUGAGAUGGGGAGAUUAUCUGGGAGAGCCUGAUGUCAUCAUAAGGUUCUUAUAAGAGGGAGGCAGGAGGGUUAGAGUGAGUAGUAAGAGAUGCAACAGUGGAAGCAAGAGGUUGGGGUGAUGUGGCCACAAGCCCAGGAGUGCUGACAGACAUCAGAAGCUGGAAGGGACAAGGAAUGGUUUCUCCUCUGGAGCCUCCAGAAAGAACCAGCCCUGCUGACACCUUGAUUUUAGCCUUGGAAGACUCAUUUUGGACUUCUGACCUUGAACGUUGUAAGAGAAUAAAUUUACAUAUUUUAAACUGGUA